UAUUUUAAACACAAUUUAACACCUGCUGCUGUUUAGCUUAGCAGCUAGCUAUUGCUCUCUAGCUUGCUAUUGCCCUGUAAUGCCCCACAUGUUACUCAAAAUAUGUAUUAUAUUUUUUGUAAUGGGCGUCACUAUUGGCCAGUCCUGAAUAUCACCUUUGAAAAGCCAUGUUUGCCGAUAUUGUGAGAAAAGGUUCACCUCUGUUUUUCAACUUGACAGAUGGUUACCCCCUGUGCUAGUGGAAGAUGUGACUUUGAAGACAGUCAUUGUAAAAGGUGCAAAAGGCUUGUCUAAGAUAAGCUGGCAGUCUACACCGCAUGGCCUGCGUUGCUGACAUUGAGUGAAGUUAAUGCAGAGUUCCUGUGCCUGACAGAUACUUGAGGAAGCAUCUUGGAGGUUGUCAAGGAGAAGGGAGGCGUUGCCAGAAGGAAGGUAGGAUAACUCAUGGCUCCAGCAGCUAAUGGAAACAUUGUGUUUGAGUUGCAAACAAUCUAAUGAAGUUGGGUAUUAGGUAUUAGAAGGUCAGACAUUAGGUGUGGGAGAUGCAUGGCCCACCUCUAGGUUCACUGACUCUGAAUUUUGAACAGUUCUGA